rnacentral:snRNA from 1 species
GCGCUUUCCUCUCCCACAAUCCUUACCAAGCAGGAGGCUGCAGCACAUCAACUAAAAUUGGAAACGACACAGAAAACAUCAGCCUGGCCCCUCGGCGAGGAUAAUAUGCAAAUUCCUGAAGCAUUCCAUAUAUUU